GCUCUUCCGAUCUUUACCCUCUAUUAUAAAUGGUGGAGGCGCGAACGCCGUUGGAAAAUAUUUUUAUAUGUUUUUACGAAGAAGAAAUAUAAUGUAAUUGAAGCCUGCAAAUGUUAGACGCAAGCUUACUAAUGAUGAAAGGAUUCCGAUGAAGAAAAGUCCAUCGUGAAAUAUUUUUAUAUGUUGUUACGACACAACCACAAGGAAAGCGUAACAGAAGGUCGUAAUUUAUAUUUAUACUUAUUUAAUAUUGUUUUAUAAUUGUGCCAGAGAAAAGUGC